rnacentral:rRNA from 1 species
GAUGAACGCUGGCGGUAUGCCUAACACAUGCAAGUCGUACGAGGGUUUUUAACUCUAGUGGCGGACGGGUGAGUAACACGUGAGAAUUUGCCUUUAGAGGGGGAUAACAAUUGGAAACGAAUGCUAAUACCCCAUAUGCUUUUGAGUGAAAUGGAUUUUAUCCGCCUAGAGAGAAGCUCGCGGCUGAUUAGCUUGUUGGUAAGGUAAGAGCUUACCAAGGCGACGAUCAGUAUCUGGUUUGAGAGGACGAUCAGACACACUGGAACUGAGACACGGUCCAGACUCCUACGGGAGGCAGCAGUGGGGAAUUUUCCGCAAUGGGCGAAAGCCUGACGGAGCAAUACCGCGUGAGGGAAGAAUGCCUAUGGGUUGUAAACCUCUUUUUUCAGGGAGGAAUAAAAUGACGUGUACCUGAAGAAUAAGCAUCGGCUAACUCCGUG